UCCAGCAAAUCUUUUUCUUCCAACUUACUUAUGAAAAUGAUUUGAAUAUUAGAACAUUUUGAAGAGAAGACGAAUACAUAUGGCUUACAAGCUCUUACAACUUAGGCCUAAUAUUCGGGAUUACGAUUGGAUAUUUCAUCCAGGUAAUCUUUUUUUUUCAAUUUUACUUAUGAAAAAUUUAAAAGAAAAAGAUAAUGUAAAGGUUUGAGAUUAAAAUGAUCGAAGUAUGGAAGUUUG
rnacentral:lncRNA from 1 species